CAGUCGCCACGGUAACACGGAGGGUGCAAGCGUUAAUCGGAAUUACUGGGCGUAAAGCGCACGCAGGCGGUUUGUUAAGUCAGAUGUGAAAUCCCCGAGCUUAACUUGGGAACUGCAUUUGAAACUGGCAAGCUAGAGUCUUGUAGAGGGGGGUAGAAUUCCAGGUGUAGCGGUGAAAUGCGUAGAGAUCUGGGGGAAUACCGGUGGCGAAGGCGGCCCCCUGGACAAAGACUGACACUCAGGUGCGAAAGCGUGGGGAGCAAACAGGAUUAGAUACCCCUGUAGUCCCUGUCUCUUAUAC
rnacentral:rRNA from 1 species